GCGAGCUGCAGCGCAGGAGCACUCAUCUGAGAAAUCCCUGCUGCUGGACUUGGAGGGGUCGAAUGCAGCACUGACUGCAGGCGCCUCCCAGCUGAUCUCAGCUGCCAUGGCUGGACGAGGGGCAGACGCUUUGGGUUUUCCUUCCCAAAAGGAAAGGACUUCAGGAAAAGUGAAUGAAGGCUCCUGGAUGCAUGGGUGGAUGCAAGUCAGUACCUGCAAUCAUCAAAUUCCUGCAAGCAGCACAGGGAGGCAGCUGAUGCUGGCUGGCUGCUGCCAAACAGGUCCGGCCUCUGCAGCUGAGGCUGCUCAUGGUACUUCAGCAGGGCGAUGAAUCAUCCCUCCCCUUUAGUAAAGGUGAUCUCCUGGGAUGCUGUGACCCCCUCCCUAACGUUUUCCUGACGAAAUGACUAAAAGUUUGGACAACUUGUGACAGGAACCACAGACAUUACUUCUCACUGCUUCAUUUACUUCUCAGUUGCCACACAACAAGACUGAAAGCUGGAGACGUUUUCAAACUGCCUGGCAUGAUUGUUGCACUAUUUGUGUGAAUGCUGGCACCCUGGCCAUCCAGGUACACUGCGGCCAUCAAAAAUAAACUGUUCUGUGGGUGACUGUGCUUCCAGCAACUUUGUAUAGAUUGGGAUAUUCCUGGAUGGAUGGAGUUCUUCCAGUCUUUUUUCACUGUGUUUUCUAGACCUCUUAUCUUUCUCCUUCCUCCCUUCUGGACUUUUUCCAGUUUGUUGGUGUUUUUGUGUCCAAAAUAGAGUAGCAGUCCCCAGGGUGGAACUAUUACCUCACUUGUCCUGAGGAUUAUUCUCUUGUUUAUAAGUCCAGCAUGUUGCAUGCCUUUUUCAUAGUGAUAUUAUAGCACAGACUUUUGAUCCUGCCCUGAAGAACUUGUACCUAGCCAGUGGAUUCUCUGUGUAAUCAUAGCAUCAUUUACACUGAAAAAGACAUUCAAGAUCAGUAGGUCCAACCAUCAACCUGAGCUACAGUCCCAUCUCUUUAAUACCAUCCAAGAUGAGGACUCUACCACUACUCUGGGCAGCCCAUUCCAAUGAUUGACUACCCUCUCCAUGAAGAAAUUAUUCAUAAUAUCCAAUCUAAAUUUCCCCAUCUUGGGAACUUAGAUAUUUUCUCCCAGCAUAUAGUACUUUGGUCUUGAUCUUCUCAAAAUGUGUUGUCUUUUUAUGUGACCGUUCUUUCAGUUUUCCUGGUGGUGAGGCUGAUAACGGAAAUAAAGUUUUAUAAUGGA